rnacentral:rRNA from 1 species
UACGAAGGGGGCUAGCGUUGCUCGGAAUCACUGGGCGUAAAGCGCACGUAGGCGGAUUGCUAAGUCAGGGGUGAAAUCCUGGAGCUCAACUCCAGAACUGCCUUUGAUACUGGCGACCUUGAGUCCGGGAGAGGUGAGUGGAACUGCGAGUGUAGAGGUGAAAUUCGUAGAUAUCAGAAGGAACGCCGGUGGCGAAAGCGACUCUCUGGCUCGUAUCUGACGCUGAGGCGCGAAAGCUUGGGUAGCAAACGGG